rnacentral:rRNA from 1 species
AGUGAACGCUGGCGGUAGGCCUAACACAUGCAAGUCGAACGGCAGCACAGUAAGAGCUUGCUCUUACGGGUGGCGAGUGGCGGACGGGUGAGGAAUACAUCGGAAUCUACUUUUUCGUGGGGGAUAACGUAGGGAAACUUACGCUAAUACCGCAUACGACCUACGGGUGAAAGCAGGGGAUCUUCGGACCUUGCGCGAUUGAAUGAGCCGAUGUCGGAUUAGCUAGUUGGCGGGGUAAAGGCCCACCAAGGCGACGAUCCGUAGCUGGUCUGAGAGGAUGGUCAGCCACACUGGAAGUGAGACACGGCCCAGACUCCGACGGGAGGCAGCAGUGGGGAAUAUUGCACAAUGGGCGCAAGCCUGAUCCAGCCAUACCGCGUGAGUGAAGAAGGCGUUCGGGUUGUAAAGCCCUUUUGUUGGGAAAGAAAAGCAGCAGGUUAAUACCCCGCUGUUCUGACGGUACCCAAAGAAUAAGCACCGGCUAACUUCGUG